AUUGAACGCUGGCGGCAGGCCUAACACAUGCAAGUCGAACGAGUGGCGGACGUGUGAGUAAUGUCUGGGAAACUGCCUGAUGGAGGGGGAUAACUACUGGAAACGGUAGCUAAUACCGCAUACCAUCAGAUGUGCCCAGAUGGGAUUAGCUAGUAGGUGGGGUAAAGGCUCACCUAGGCGACGAUCCCUAGCUGGUCUGAGAGGAUGACCAGCAACACUGGAACUGAGACACGGUCCAGACUCCUACGGGAGGCAGAAGUGGGGAAUAUUGCACAAUGGGCGCAAGCCUGAUGCAGCCAUGCCGCGUGUAUGAAGAAGGCCUUCGGGUUGUAAAGUACUUUCAGCGAGGAGGCGUUACUCGCAGAAGAAGCACCGGCUAACUCCGUGCCAGCCGCCGCGGUAAUAC
rnacentral:rRNA from 1 species